rnacentral:misc_RNA from 1 species
GUGAAUCAUCGAAUUUUUGAACGCAAAUUGCACUCUCUUCGGAGAGUAUGCCUGUUUGAGGGUCAGCCUAUAAAAAAUCGACAUCGUUGCUGUUUCGCGGUGGCGUUCGGCGGAAAUUGGGUCAUCUUAAAUCUUUUGGUUUUAAGCGUCUUAAACUAUUCUUUUGGUUAUAUGAACGUUUCUUAG